UUGGAUAAGGCAGCUGUUGCCCCCCUGCUGGGAGUUGUGUUUCUGACUGGAUACUUGAGCUUCAGCACAUGGUCAUGAGUUGGUGGUGAUUCCCUUCUUGAGGCAUCUCUCAUGCUCUUCAGUGGCCUUUUUUUUAGAGGCAGAGCAGUUUCACGGCUGACUUCAGGAAGAAGUGAAAGGCCAGGCUUUGAGCCUCAUGAGUAUCCCCAGAGGGCCCUUAUGGCAGGAGAUGUGUGAAUUUCCGGAGAUGAUAUUGUUCUCUUCCUCAUCUGAGGAUGCUGAAGCCACCGAGGAGCAUUGUGCUGACACCUUGCCACUACUGUCACCAGAAGGAUGCUGUGAUGUUACCGGAGCAAUUAACGUGUCCUGUGUCAUACCUUCACCUGGGCUGGGGAGAAUGAAAACAAGUUUAAAAGCUUAGGAACUGGAAUUGCUGGUCUCCUGGUAGCAGUACAUGG